rnacentral:rRNA from 1 species
AAGUAACCUGCCUGUAAGACUGGAAUAACUCCGGGAAACCGGGGCUAAUACCGGAUGCUUGUUUGAACCGCAUGGUUCAAACAUAAAAGGUGGCUUCGGCUACCACUUACAGAUGGACCCGCGGCGCAUUAGCUAGUUGGUGAGGUAAUGGCUCACCAAGGCAACGAUGCGUAGCCGACCUGAGAGGGUGAUCGGCCACACUGGGACUGAGACACGGCCCAGACUCCUACGGGAGGCAGCAGUAGGGAAUCUUCCGCAAUGGACGAAAGUCUGACGGAGCAACGCCGCGUGAGUGAUGAAGGUUUUCGGAUCGUAAAGCUCUGUUGUUAGGGAAGAACAAGUACCGUUCGAAUAGGGCGGUACCUUGACGGUACCUAACCAGAAAGCCACGGCUAACUACGUGCCAGCAGCCGCGGUAAUACGUAGGUGGCAAGCGUUGUCCGGAAUUAUUGGGCGUAAAGGGCUCGCAGGCGGUUCCUUAAGUCUGAUGUGAAAGCCCCCGGCUCAACCGGGGAGGGUCAUUGGAAACUGGGGAACUUGAGUGCAGAAGAGGAGAGUGGAAUUCCACGUGUAGCGGUGAAAUGCGUAGAGAUGUGGAGGAACACCAGUGGCGAAGGCGACUCUCUGGUCUGUAACUGACGCUGAGGAGCGAAAGCGUGGGGAGCGAACAGGAUUAGAUACCCUGGUAGUCCACGCCGUAAACGAUGAGUGCUAAGUGUUAGGGGGUUUCCGCCCCUUAGUGCUGCAGCUAACGCAUUAAGCACUCCGCCUGGGGAGUACGGUCGCAAGACUGAAACUCAAAGGAAUUGACGGGGGCCCGCACAAGCGGUGGAGCAUGUGGUUUAAUUCGAAGCAACGCGAAGAACCUUACCAGGUCUUGACAUCCUCUGACAAUCCUAGAGAUAGGACGUCCCCUUCGGGGGCAGAGUGACAGGUGGUGCAUGGUUGUCGUCAGCUCGUGUCGUGAGAUGUUGGGUUAAGUCCCGCAACGAGCGCAACCCUUGAUCUUAGUUGCCAGCAUUCAGUUGGGCACUCUAAGGUGACUGCCGGUGACAAACCGGAGGAAGGUGGGGAUGACGUCAAAUCAUCAUGCCCCUUAUGACCUGGGCUACACACGUGCUACAAUGGACAGAACAAAGGGCAGCGAAACCGCGAGGUUAAGCCAAUCCCACAAAUCUGUUCUCAGUUCGGAUCGCAGUCUGCAACUCGACUGCGUGAAGCUGGAAUCGCUAGUAAUCGCGGAUCAGCAUGCCGCUUUAAAUACGUUCCCGGGCGAAGUACCCCUUUAGUUUGACCCCGGUCAGAACGAACCCUAGAGUUUGAUCCUGGUCAGAACGAACGCUA